GACGAACGCUGGCGGCGUGCUUAACACAUGCAAGUCGAACGAUGAACCGGUUUCGGCCGGGGAUUAGUGGCGAACGGGUGAGUAACACGUGGGCAACCUGCCCUGCACUCUGGGAUAAGCCCGGGAAACUGGGUCUAAUACCGGAUACGACACUCCGAGGCAUCUUGGGGUGUGGAAAGUUCCGGCGGUGCAGGAUGAGCCCGCGGCCUAUCAGCUUGUUGGUGGGGUAAUGGCCUACCAAGGCGACGACGGGUAGCCGGCCUGAGAGGGUGACCGGCCACACUGGGACUGAGACACGGCCCAGACUCCUACGGGAGGCAGCAGUGGGGAAUAUUGCACAAUGGGCGAAAGCCUGAUGCAGCGACGCCGCGUGAGGGAUGACGGCCUUCGGGUUGUAAACCUCUUUCAGCAGGGAAGAAGCGAAAGUGACGGUACCUGCAGAAGAAGCACCGGCUAACUACGUG
rnacentral:rRNA from 1 species